UACGUAGGGCGCAAGCGUUGUCCGGAAUUAUUGGGCGUAAAGAGCUCGUAGGCGGCUUGUCACGUCGGGUGUGAAAGCCCGGGGCUUAACCCCGGGUCUGCGGUCGAUACGGGCAGGCUCGAGUUCGGUAGGGGAGACUGGAAUUCCUGGUGUAGCGGUGAAAUGCGCAGAUAUCAGGAGGAACACCGGUGGCGAAGGCGGGUCUCUGGGCCGAUACUGACGCUGAGAAGCGAAAGCAUGGGGAGCGAACAGG
rnacentral:rRNA from 1 species